AUUGAACGCUGGCGGCAUGCUUUACACAUGCAAGUCGAACGGCAGCGCGGGCUUCGGCCUGGCGGCGAGUGGCGAACGGGUGAGUAAUGCAUCGGAAUGUGCCCAGUAGUGGGGGAUAGCACGGCGAAAGCCGGAUUAAUACCGCAUACGACCUGAGGGUGAAAGCGGGGGAGCGAAAGACCUCGUGCCCUUGCAGCGGCCGAUGUCGGAUUAGCUAGUUGGUGGGGUAAAGGCUUACCAAGGCGACGAUCCGUAGCUGGUCUGAGAGGACGACCAGCCACACUGGGACUGAGACACGGCCCAGACUCCUACGGGAGGCAGCAGUGGGGAAUUUUGGACAAUGGGGGCAACCCUGAUCCAGCCAUGCCGCGUGCGGGAAGAAGGCCUUCGGGUUGUAAACCGCUUUUGUUCGGGAAGAAAUCCUCUGGGCUAAUACCCCGGGGGAAUGACGGUACCGGAAGAAUAAGCACCGGCUAACUACGUG
rnacentral:rRNA from 1 species